rnacentral:rRNA from 1 species
GACGAACCGUGCGAACGUUGUUCGGAAUCACUGGGCGUAAAGAGCGCGCAGGCGGUCGUUCAAGUCGCGUGUGAAAGCCCCCGGCUCAACUGGGGAGGGUCACGCGAUACUGAUCGACUCGAAGGCAGGAGAGGGUAGUGGAAUUCCCGGUGUAGUGGUGAAAUGCGUAGAUAUCGGGAGGAACACCAGUGGCGAAGGCGACUACCUGGCCUGUUCUUGACGCUGAGGCGCGAAAGCUAGGGGAGCAAACGGG